rnacentral:rRNA from 1 species
UGCCCGGUAGCUAAAUGCGGAAGAGAUAAGUGCUGAAAGCAUCUAAGCACGAAACUUGCCCCGAGAUGAGUUCUCCCUGACCCUUUAAGGGUCCUGAAGGAACGUUGAAGACGACGACGUUGAUAGGCCGGGUGUGUAAGCGCAGCGAUGCGUUGAGCUAACCGGUACUAAUGAACCGUGAGGCUUAACCUUACAACGCCGAAGCUGUU